AUUGAACGCUGGCGGCAUGCUUUACACAUGCAAGUCGAACGGUAACAGGCCUUCGGGCGCUGACGAGUGGCGAACGGGUGAGUAAUGCAUCGGAACGUGCCCAGUCGUGGGGGAUAACUAUCCGAAAGGAUAGCUAAUACCGCAUAAGAUCUGCGGAUGAAAGCGGGGGACCUUCGGGCCCCGCGCGAUUGGGGCGGCCGAUGUCAGAUUAGGUAGUUGGUGGGGGAAAGGCUCACCAAGCCAACGAUCUGGAGCUGGUCUGAGAGGACGACCAGCCACACUGGGACUGAGACACGGCCCAGACUCCUACGGGAGGCAGCAGUGGGGAAUUUUGGACAAUGGGCGCAAGCCUGAUCCAGCAAUGCCGCGUGCAGGAAGAAGGCCUUCGGGUUGUAAACUGCUUUUGUACGGAACGAAACGGCUCUGGUUAAUACCCGGGGCUAAUGACGGUACCGUAAGAAUAAGCACCGGCUAACUACGUGCCAGCAGCCGCAGUAA
rnacentral:rRNA from 1 species